rnacentral:rRNA from 1 species
UAGGGAAUCUUCGGCAAUGGACGAAAGUCUGACCGAGCAACGCCGCGUGAGUGAAGAAGGUUUUCGGAUCGUAAAACUCUGUUGUUAGAGAAGAACAAGGACGUUAGUAACUGAACGUCCCCUGACGGUAUCUAACCAGAAAGCCACGGCUAACUACGUGCCAGCAGCCGCGGUAAUACGUAGGUGGCAAGCGUUGUCCGGAUUUAUUGGGCGUAAAGCGAGCGCAGGCGGUUUCUUAAGUCUGAUGUGAAAGCCCCCGGCUCAACCGGGGAGGGUCAAUUGAAACUGGGGGACUUGAGUGGAGAAGAGGGGAGGGGAAUUCCAUGUGUAGCGGUGAAAUGCGUAGAUAUAUGGAGGAACACCAGUGGCGAAGGCGGCUCUCUGGUCUGUAACUGACGCUGAGGCUAGAAAGCGUGGGGAGCAAACAGG